ACCGCACGUCAUUUUUGGCUUUUCUGUGGUGGUGUGCCGGGCUGCUACGUGCUCGGCUUAGAGAACUAGAAGGGUCCGUCUCUUUUUUGCCCACUGGAGCCUGGCGCUUGGGGCACUGCCUCCCAGUUGGUGGUGGUGGUGACGGAGCUGUAGGAGGGAGGCUAGCGGCGGGAGCUUCUCCUGCUGGGCUGGAAGGCAAGCAGAAGGAAGAGGCACCACCGCAUGCUGGAGGCUGGAGACACGGCGGCUUGCCUCGCUGCGGUUGGUGGUGACAUCGGAGACCGCAGCUACGCAAGCGUGUGUGCCUUGGAGAAGCCUAGGGAAGGUGCAGCUCACAGACCUGCCCUGCUCUGGGCCAGCUGUCUACAGGUGCUAAGGGACGACCACGCCGUUACCUGUGUGGUGCAGGUCAACUCAUCGGCUAUUUUACAAGCUGAAGGGUGGAAGCUGACAGCUCACCCAGUGACUGUGACCAGACCCUGGGCUGGGCACCAGGAAUACAGCAGUGAAUGACACAGACGGCCAGGCUGCUGGAGGUGUUUCCCACCACCACCUCCUCACAUUGACCAGAUAUUUGGGUGCUGGGUCUGGAUCCUGGUAGCCACCACCCAGGUUGCAAACCCAUUGCUGCAAGGAUGGGUGAUGUAUGUCUCACUCACCUCAUUUCUCAUCACCCUCAGCUUCCUGUUGUCUUCCUUGUUUGGAUUUUGCAAAAGAAAUGAUUCCAGGAGAGUUCCAGUAAGAACCGGCAGCAUGGCUCCUCCUGGGUGGACGUCCUGGGUGGGGUGAGGACAACUGGCACUUCUGGGCACAGAGGAGAAUCAGAGACCCUGGGGUAGGCUCCCAUGGAACCAAGACUUUUGAUUUUAGUGUGUUUACUACUAGGCCAAAAUGAAGACAUUUCCCUGCGAGAGUAGAUCUUUCAUUCCAUUCCCCUCCACUGCCUUCCCUGUUCGGAAAAUAGCACCCUGUAAUAGAGCACACUCUGAUGUGUUUCCCCUAAAUUUUCUUCCUGGUAAAAUCUUAGAGCAACACUGAGGAAAAUGCUAGUAGGAAAGAGAAAUUACUUCAGUCUCAAGGCCUUGUCACAAUCCCUGCGACAGGUUCUUUCUUCCAUAUUCCACGUGAACUUUAUGCAAAGAAUAUACACAAAGAAUAUACUUUAUGCAAAGAAUAUACACACUUUAAUUGCACUCUGCAAAUCAUUUUGGAUGCAGAUGCUUUCAUUUAAUGUUACAUCAUUAAUUCUUCAAGUUGUUGCAUCAUCUCAAUAGGCAUUUAAAAGUGUCCCACGUUGAACAAUUGAAGACAUAUGAAAGUACAGAAUAUUGUACUAUAGGCCCUCACGUAGCCAUAGCCCAGAUUCCAGCAUUACGAAGAUUUUACCAUAUUUGUCUCAUCUUGCCUUUUUCCCCCCUAAGGAAUUUUAAAGCAAACCUCAUUCCACACACUUCAGUCUGUUUCCAAAAACAUAUGCAAACUUUCUCACAUUAUCACAUUUAUGGAAAGUUAACAACAAUUCCUCAAUAUACCUAAGACAGUAUCCAGUGGUCCCCCUUGUCUCUGGGGGAUGUGUUCCAAGACCCCCAGGGGAAGCCUGACACCUUGGGUGUCACUGAACCCUGCAUCUACUAUGCACACACUUCUUUCUCCUUCACUGCAGUUUCACCGACGGACAAUUCAUCCUCACUGCACAUCUUAACCUCAGUGGAUGAUUUUUUUCUUUCCUUGUUAAGUUGAAAUCUUUCAUUUUUUCACUUAAAUGAAGCACUUUCCGGCUGCUUGUUGGCAUAUCCAUAUUGCCAGUGUCACCACUCUUGCGACUUGGGGACGUUGUGGAGGACACAAGGCUUCCUCGAAUGCAUGCACUGCAACACCGCAGCAGACCAUCUGAUCGCCCGGACAGCUAUGAAGUGACAGCAUAUGAGACAUCUACAGUGUGGGUGGGCCGAGCAGAGGGAUGAUUUAUGUCCCGGUGGCACACGGUGGGAAAAAGAUAUUUGUCGAUUGAAUAAAUGAAUGAGAAGCGU